UGGGGUAUUUUGGACAAUGGGCGCAAGCCUGAUCCAGCAAUGCCGCGUGCAGGAUGAAGGCCUUCGGGUUGUAAACUGCUUUUGUACGGAACGAAACGGCCCUUUCCAAUACAAGGGGUCAAUGACGGUACCGUAAGAAUAAGCACCGGCUAACUACGUGCCAGCAGCCGCGGUAAUACGUAGGGUGCAAGCGUUAAUCGGAAUUACUGGGCGUAAAGCGUGCGCAGGCGGUUUUGUAAGACAGAGGUGAAAUCCCCGGGCUCAACCUGGGAACUGCCUUUGUGACUGCAAGGCUGGAGUGCGGCAGAGGGGGAUGGAACUCCGCGUGUAGCAGUGAAAUGCGUAGAUAUGCGGAGGAACACCGAUGGCGAAGGCAGCCUCCUGGGCCAGUACUGACGCUCAUGCACGAAAGCGUGGGGAGCAAACA
rnacentral:rRNA from 1 species